AGAAGAGGACAGCAGAAUUGGGAAAGAGGAGAGGAGGAAAAAGAAAGGAAAAGAAAGAAAGAAAGGAAGAUGGAGAAGAAGAGAAGGGAAAAGGGAGUUGGUGCUGGAUUUUUUUCUGAGUUUCUCUAGCAAAAAAGAACACUAACAAGGGGAAAAGAAGGAUUUUGAUCUGAGGUACAAGGAAUUUGAGAGAGAGAAAUGGAGAAGGUGAACAGUAGCAAAAACAGGGGUUCAGCAGAGGCAGCAUGUUUCUCUUCCAUCCAGGAGGAGCUUUUGAUUAUGGUUUUAAGUGGAUGGAAGGUGAUAUUUGCUAGUUAGUAUCAUAGGUCAGUUUUGCAGGCAAUUUAGGGUGAAUAUUGGGUAUCAGUUUUAUGGAUCUUAGAGCUUCGAUUGGCUAGAAUCCACAGUCUUAGAGAGCAUCGGAAGAAUGAUUAUUCAGUAGAGAUAAAGGUGUGACAUCAUUAUUUUUAAUGACAAAUGAUUGCGAAGGGUUACCAUUUAUGCAGUACAGAAUCACCUUAAUCACCUUCACAGUAACAUUAUCAGGUCAAGAACUCAUCAAAUGUAAUUUUUGUAAUUUUAAUAAUUUUCAAGGUAGGAAAAAAAAAGAAUCCGACUAAUUAAAGUUGACUGGUUAGAUCUAAUUUCUAGCUUAACUAAUUAAUUUGUCUAGUUCAUUUUUUUUUCCUUUUCGUUAAGCUUCAAUUGAGAUUCAAACUCAACCAGUUCCUUUUAUUCAUUUGACUUGGUUGGGAUUUAAACUCAAAAUCUCAUAAUUCUUGGAAAUAACUUUAUUACCCCCAAAAAAUGGGAUUGACCUUAAAAUGUAGCAUACUAACUUUUAAUUAAUUAGUCAAUUUAAUGGAAAGAAAAAU
rnacentral:misc_RNA from 1 species